UGAUCGGCCACACGGGACUCCCAAGUCAUGUUCUAUAUAUUCAUAGUAAUUCAAUCUUGGGCGGUCAUGUUCUAUAUAUUCAUAGUAAUUCAAUCUUGGGCGGUCAUGUUCUAUAUAUUCAUAGUAAUUCAAUCUUGGGCGGUCAUGUUCUAUAUAUUCAUAGUAAUUCAAUCUUGGGCGGUCAUGUUUACAAUCCCGGCCAAGUCAUGAUCGGCCACACGGGACUCCCAAGUCAUGUUCUAUAUAUUCAUAGUAAAUCAAUCUUGGGCGGUCAUGUUCUAUAUAUUCAUAGUAAUUCAAUCUUGGGCGGUCAUGUUCUAUAUAUUCAUAGUAAUUCAAUCUUGGGCGGUCAUGUUCUAUAUAUUCAUAGUAAUUCAAUCUUGGGCGGUCAUGUUCUAUAUAUUCAUAGUAAUUCAAUCGGUCAUGUUAUGAUUGCAACUCUGACCAAGUCAGGUUUGGUUUGAUAGCAUAACAUGGCCUUCUUAUCUUUGCCGGUCAUGAUUUGACAACCCUGGCUUAGUCAAGAUAUAUCCCAUGUUUUACAUCUUGACUAGGCCAUGAUUUUCUAUCCCAAGAUUGCAUUGGCCAAGAUACAUUACUUCCAAACGCAGUCAAGAUUUACUUCCCAAGAUUUUAUAGGACCGAGAUUCGGCCAAGAUAGCAUUGCGCCAAGAUACAUUACUUCCAAACGCAGUCAAGAUUCACUUCCCAAGAUUUCAAAAGACAAAGACUAAUUUCCCAAGAUUUCAAAAGAUCAAGAAUCGGCCAAGAAUUUUUAGGAUGCAGAAGCGCGGCAAUAAUCAUAUGCUUGCUUGGCCACGGGUCGAGACCCACAUACAGGGUUUAAUUUGGUAUGUGCACCAUAAAUGAGGACACAGAAAUAUGGAUGAAAAUUUAAAAGACAUCAUUAGAAGUUACCACAGAAGAGGUUUAUCUCACAAGGAAAUUCACUUUUUACUGAAAAUAAGACAUGGUCAAAA